CCCAAGUCCAUCACAUCUGAUAACCACUGUCAGGCUAGACAGUGGACUCAUGGUGCUCUCAGGGCGACCUCACAGGGGCUUGGCCGUGGCACUGAGGGGAGAGCCUGAUUGGCUGGCUGUUUCAUUGCCAGAUCUCUGAAGGCCAAUCAGGAUUUGUAGCUCAGCCACCUGCUUUCUGAGGAGCACUGAGCAAGAUGGCCACCUCCUGGUGGUAAGUCUCGCUCCUGGAGUUCCCAUCUUGACCCUACAGCGGGACAUUUUGCCGCCACCUCUUUGUGUGUUGGGAAGAUGACGUCCUUUCUGCUCGUCCUGCUUCUCUGAUUGGGACAGUCUGGUUUGAAAGGGAGGAGGAGAAAUAAGAGAAAGCUCCGUGGUAAUAUACAAGACGAAAGGAAAAGAAAGACAAGUAAAAGGAAUGAUCUGCAACCACCUGGAUAUUGGAGCACAAUUGUGAGAACAACUGGAUCUGUGUCUCUGGAGAUCCCUUUGCUCAGCCAUCAGAUCAAGCAGGCAUCCAUGGUUCAGAAUGGUGAUGACCUGGGCAAGAGCUCACCAGUAAGGAGCAAAGGGGCCCGCCUGCCACUCUUAAGCAGAGCGCCUGCUGAAUCAGGAUUUCCAAGGCUCCGGCUGAGUGCCUGGCUGGGGGCUGUGUGUGCAGAUGCCACAAGAUGGACAAGACUGAGGACGCAGAUUUCCUACAACAGCAGACUUCUGAUGCCCAGGCCUCAGUUCUGAACUCUGGAGGCUACAACCUGGCCUGCUUAUAGACGGUGGACCAAAUGAAGGUGAAGAGGAGACGGAUGAGGAAACUGAAGCAACUGUUCAAGAAGAGGAUAUAAAAAGGGACAGGCAUUGAUGAUGAUAUCAGAGCUUCUUCCUGGGGAAUCUCAGCCUCACAUGAUGGAGUAUGACUAAAGGAAAAAAAUAAGGCUCUUCACAUACUUUCUUGGCAGUCUGUGAGGGUCAGGGUUGAUUUUGUGUCCCUAAAAUGUCACAUGAAGUUCAUAGGCACUUCCAAAGGGGCAGUCUAGCAAGUUAAAGAGUAGAUGUGGGGCUGUGUGGAGUCCAUUGUUUGGGUAAUCUUUUUCAAACAGUAGGAAUAUACCAGCUUGUAAAGAUUUGCCCACUUAGCUUCAAGUCUCUCUGAACACAUUUCCCCCCGCUCUAUGAAUAGAUGAAGACAUACAAAUGGAACUCUUGAUAUUCUUAAGUGAAAAACAUGAUAUGGAAUAGCAGAUAAAUACAAACAAUUUCUUAUCCAGCAAAGAGCUCCAGAAAUAUUUUGACUUCAUUUAAAACAGUUAUAUAAAUAUUUGCUGGUGGAAUUUUUUUCUAAACCAAAUACCCUGAAGGAUUUUAGUUGUCUAUCUACAACUUUUUGCUUGUGGAAAAUGUUGACUUCCUGGUUACUUUGACUUGUGUUCACCUGAAAUUUUGCUUUUGCAGUAGUUUUUCUUAUGAUUUAGUGGCAUUGCCUGUCCAGUGACAGGAAGUGGUGUUCUUAUUGGGACUAAUAUGUGUUAUGGCCCUAGAACCAGCAGAAGCCACUCCUGCUUUUUUCCACACUCUUCUUUCUAUAGAAGAGAAGGGAAUGAGGAUCCCACAUGGCAUUCACUGCCUUGAGCAUACUGAGAUUUCUUUGCAAAAGGAGAAACAGCACCAGCAACUAAGCAUUUUAUCCCAUUUUAUUUUACUUCUUCUAUGAUUCUUUGCCACUUAGCAAUGCCAAUUAAUUGAUUUGGGACUGGAAAUACAUUUCUUAUACAAUCUUCAAGUUUUCUUUCAUAAGAACAUAACUUUCAUCUGAUAUUGUUCCCCACUUCUCUCUUUUCAAAUGUAAUAUUUGGGCCAGUCCUUGAAAGUGAACUGAGUUGAGUUCUCAUGGCCCAUAAAAGAACAUAUUCAAAAUGUAUCAUUUUCUUUAUGUCACAGAUAAAAGAUCAUUAAUUGUAUAUAAAAUUUCCAUAUAAUUUUUAAAAUUUUUAUUUUGCAAUAAUUUAUUUUAGAUUUACAUUAAAGUUGCAAGGAAGGU
rnacentral:lncRNA from 10 species